rnacentral:sRNA from 17 species
UACAAUAAUCCCAUCAAGCAGAAAAGUGGACGAACUGCUUGCAACAUCGGGCACUUUUCUAUUUGAUGGGUAAACAGUCAUAAGCACGCAGGACGAUAGUCCGGAGUGCGCAUGGCUGGCACGAUUUCGAGAGUUCGAAGAACGAAGAAAUCGUGAUUAUUGUA